CUGAAACAAAAUUUCAUUGGCUGUUCAGAAAUAUGCGUAAUAGCCAUAGAGCUUGUAUUAAUGGAGGGGCCAUUGCUAUAUGCACAGACUUCUAUAAUAUACUAGACUGCUAACCUUGAUUCCCUAGGCGUACCAGUAUAUAAUGUACAUGUUGUGCAUGACUGAAUAACCGAUCGGAAUGUGUCAUCUACUAUGUAUGUUGUACAUUGUUCGUCAAGUGGAAUGUAUAUGUACAUAUAUAUAUAUACAUAUAUGCCAAUAAAUGUCACAUAUAGUUGCUACGAGUAAUUUGUUGACAUUUUUAAAAUGUUUAUAUAUAUAUAUAUAUAUAUAUAUAUUUAAAGAAUGAUACUUAAUAAUACUAAUAAAUAUCAUUAAUAUUAGGUUAUUUUAUACAAAAAUGCUCUUAAAAUGAGGUUAUAUUAUUUGUCCUUUAGUUUUAAUACUUAAACGAAAAGAAAUGUAUACCGCUUUCUUAUAUAUAUUUGGGCAGCCUUUUAUCACAUACCUUGGUUAUUGUCAUUUUAUCUUUUUCUUUUAUAUUACAAGAGCAAAAGAAUGAUACGUUUAACGCAUAAGUACGCAUAAGCGUCCAAGGAGAACGCUCUCAUAAUCACAUAAUAUAUGUAUAUAUUGUAUCAUACAUCUCACUCACUCCUCUAGUAAUCCAUAGUCGUAGGACUAUAAAAUAUUAGCCACAUUCCAAUCGGUAAUUCAGUCUGCCGCCUAUGAGCUCCUAUUUGUACAUACUUUUCGGGUACACACUAAAUGGAGAAUAUAUAACGAGCCUAGCAGUCUAGUAUAUUAUAGAAGUCUGUGGCUAUAUGCCGGAGUCCGCGCGGGGAGAAUCGACAGAGACAUGAAUAUAUUCUCAUCACUGAUCUCAUUAAAGUGGAUAUGGCAUAGGACGAAAUAAGUGUGACCAAUUGAAGGUUGUAGUCUCUGUACACAAUAUGGCGGUGUAUACGAAUACGAACACAGUUUACUGUGACGAUGAUACGAAAUUCCACGUGUAAUUAAUUAUCUAUAGACGUAGAUGUGUAGCAGUUUUAUCCAAAAUAUUACUUUUUUAUAAUAAAAAUAGUAAAAUAGUAAAAUAGUAAGAUUCCAAAAUUAAAAAAUGUGUUUAUUGUGGAAAAGGAAGUGAAAAUAAACAACAAACGUUCAUAGCUGCAAGUAUGGAUUACUACAACACAAUUAAGGACACGAGGACAAAAUAAGCUAUAACAAUACCCUUUAAACUUAUUUAUAAGUUUAGUAGUAGUAGUAUUAUUUAUUAGUAAAAUUAUUUAACAAGAUGGUCAUAAAUAAAAAUUUACGAUUUUUAGAC